UAAAGGUUUGGUCCUAGCCUUUCUAUUAAUUCUAAACAGAACUACACAUGCAAGUAUCCGCGCCCCAGUGAGAAUGCCCUAUAGAUCGUACCCUCAAACGAUAUAAAGGAGUAGGUAUCAAGCACACCGUUAGGUAGCUCAUAACGCCUUGCUCAGCCACACCCCCACGGGAGACAGCAGUGAUAAAAAUUAAGCAAUAAACGAAAGUUUGACUAAGUUAUGUUAAAAAGGGUUGGUAAAUUUCGUGCCAGCCACCGCGGUCAUACGAUUAACCCUAAUUAAUAGACCUACGGCGUAAAGCGUGUUUAAGGAUUUCCCCCCCCCCAAUAAAGUUAAACCCUAGCUACGCUGUAAAAAGCCCCAGCUACCGUAAAAUCCCCCACGAAAGUGACUUUAAAUAACCUGAAUACACGACAGCUAAGACCCAAACUGGGAUUAGAUACCCCACUAUGCUUAGCCCUAAACUUGAAGAAUCAACAUAACAAGAUCCUUCGCCAGAGUACUACUAGCUAAAGCUUAAAACUCAAAGGACUUGGCGGUGCUUUAUAUCCCUCUAGAGGAGCCUGUUCUAUAAUCGAUAAACCCCGAUAAACCUCACCAACUCUUGCCAAAUCAGCCUAUAUACCGCCAUCCUCAGCAAACCCUGAAAAGGACUGAUAGUAAGCCAAAUCGCAAUGCGCAAAAACGUUAGGUCAAGGUGUAGCCGAUGAGUUGGGAAGAAAUGGGCUACAUUUCCUACCAAUAGGACACACAUCUUUCUAAACGAAAACUCUUAUGAAACUAAGAACUAAAGGUGGAUUUAGCAGUAAACUAAGAAUAGAGUGCUUAGUUGAAUUAGGCCAUGAAGCACGCACACACCGCCCGUCACCCUCCUCAAAUACCAACGGUAACUCCAAACCAUAUUAACAAUUACCACAAGUACUAGAGGAGACAAGUCGUAACAAGGUAAGCGUACUGGAAAGUGCGCUUGGAUAACU
rnacentral:ncRNA from 1 species